AUUCAACUGACGAGUUCCAAAUAAAAUGAAACACUCGUCCUGGAU
rfam:Schistosoma mansoni strain Puerto Rico chromosome W, complete genome